GGUAAUUUGGUAUAAUAUAACAGAGCAAGUUGGAUUGAUGGUGGCUAAUCUCAGUAUAGAGUGAGGUGGUGCUUAUGAAAGUAUCAACAAAAUCUUUAGAAAGGAGACGCCUUUAGUGAUUCCAAUUGUUGAUGCAAUUAAGCUGAUGAUAGAUUUCGGUACUUUUAUCGUAGUCUUAAUUGGCUUAGU
rnacentral:sRNA from 1 species